rnacentral:lncRNA from 1 species
UGGUGCUGACUUUGUGAAUAAGAUUUCCUUAGCCUCCCCAUCUCGGUUUCCCGACAAUGUCGUCUGCGGCGGUGUAGAUUCCAAUUGGCCCUUCUGGUCGGUGAGCCUAGGCUUUGCAAGAUUUGUGAUGAGGCGACUGCAACUCCCCUUUGCAGUUUGGUCCUUCGUCAUGCCACUUCAGCCUCCGGUGCCACGCGUGAGGCUUGUGAGAAAUUUUAGAGGUCUAGCUCUUGGAUACGCGACUCUUCUGAUGGUGAUGUCUUCUUUUUCAGGGCACUGGUCAGGUAGGAUUUUGGCCUUGGUGUCUUUCCGUCCUCAAUCAACAACGAUGAUGGCACCGACAGUGCGCCAUCAGCCCACUCGAGGAAGACGUUCAGCCUUCUAGGAACCUCGUUGUAAUUUCUUAAUUUUAUUAGAGAUGUUCAUACUAUUGGUUUGGUUCACAUAUCUCAAGGUGCUUUAAAAAAAUCCGAAUAGAAUUAUGGUAUGGAGGUGUGUUUCUUUGUUUCUUUUGUGAUCUUUAGUUUAAUGGGCAGAAUUGUAUAUCCUUCUUAAAAAACUCAAAUAGAAAAAGAGGUGUUAAAU